UNUGGCUUAACUGGGGGCGUGCGGUGGGUACGGGCUGACUNGAGUGCGGUAGGGGAGACUGGAACUCCUGGUGUAGCGGUGGAAUGCGCAGAUAUCAGGAAGAACACCGGUGGCGAAGGCGGGUCUCUGGGCCGUUACUGACGCUGAGGAGCGAAAGCGUGGGGAGCGAACAGGAUUAGAUACCCUGGUAGUCCACGCUGUAAACGUUGGGCACUAGGUGUGGGGGCCACCCGUGGUUUCUGCGCCGUAGCUAACGCUUUAAGUGCCCCGCCUGGGGAGUACGGCCGCAAGGCUAAAACUCAAAGGAAUUGACGGGGGCCCGCACAAGCGGCGGAGCAUGCGGAUUAAUUCGAUGCAACGCGAAGAACCUUACCAAGGCUUGACAUGCACGGCGGCACUGCAGAGAUGUGGUGGCAUUUAGUUGGUCGUGUGCAGGUGGUGCAUGGUUGUCGUCAGCUCGUGUCGUGAGAUGUUGGGUUAAGUCCCGCAACGAGCGCAACCCUUGCCCUAUGUUGCCAGCACGUGAUGGUGGGGACUCGUGGGGGACUGCCGGGGUUAACUCGGAGGAAGGUGGGGAUGACGUCAAAUCAUCAUGCCCCUUAUGUCUUGGGCUUCACGCAUGCUACAAUGGUUGGUACAGAGGGUUGCGAUAUCGUGAGGUGGAGCGAAUCCCUUAAAGCCAGUCUCAGUUCGGAUUGGGGUCUGCAACUCGACCCCAUGAAGGUGAAGUCGCUAGUAAUCGCAGAUCAGCAAUGCUGCGGUGAAUACGUUCCCGGGCCUUGUACACAC
rnacentral:rRNA from 1 species